rnacentral:rRNA from 1 species
GACGAACGCCGGCGGCGUGCUUAACACAUGCAAGUCGAACGGAAAGGCCCUGCUUUUGUGGGGUGCUCGAGUGGCGAACGGGUGAGUAACACGUGAGUAACCUGCCCUUGACUUUGGGAUAACUUCAGGAAACUGGGGCUAAUACCGGAUAGGAGCUCCUGCUGCAUGGUGGGAGUUGGAAAGUUUCGGCGGUUGGGGAUGGACUCGCGGCUUAUCAGCUUGUUGGUGGGGUAGUGGCUUACCAAGGCUUUGACGGGUAGCCGGCCUGAGAGGGUGACCGGCCACAUUGGGACUGAGAUACGGCCCAGACUCCUACGGGAGGCAGCAGUGGGGAAUAUUGCACAAUGGGCGGAAGCCUGAUGCAGCAACGCCGCGUGCGGGAUGACGGCCUUCGGGUUGUAAACCGCUUUCGCCUGUGACGAAGCGUGAGUGACGGUAAUGGGUAAAGAAGCACCGGCUAACUACGUG